UCUGGCACUUUCAGUGUCCGAGUUGUAAUUUGAAGAAGGUAACUCUGGAGUUGGCCCUUGUCUAUGUUCCUUGGAACAGGACGUCACAGAGGGUGAGAAUCCCGUGCGAUGGGGUGUCCAAUUCUAUGUAGAGUGCUUUCGAAGAGUCGAGUUGUUUGGGAAUGCAGCUCUAAGUGGGUGGUAAAUUCCAUCUAAAGCUAAAUAUUGGCGAGAGACCGAUAGCGAACAAGUACAGUGAUGGAAAGAUGAAAAGAACUUUGAAAAGAGAGUGAAAAAGUACGUGAAAUUGUUGAAAGGGAAGGGCUUGAGAUCAGACUCGGUAUUUUGCGAUCCUAUCCUUCGUGGAGAGGUUUCACUUGCAGCUUACCGGGCCAGCAUCGGUUUGGAUGGUAGGAUAAUGACAUUGGAAUGUGGCUCUUCGGAGUGUUAUA
rnacentral:rRNA from 1 species